rnacentral:pre_miRNA from 21 species
GAGGCAAUAUACGCUCUGGCAGUGUGGUUAGCUGGUUGUGUGGUUUUCCCAUCUUCACAGCCACUAUCCGCCCUGCCGUCGCGCUAAUGCCCAA